AUUCCUACGGGAGGCAGCAGUGGGGAAUAUUGCGCAAUGGGCGAAAACCUGACGCAGCAACGCCGCGUGAGGGAUGACGGCCUUCGGGUUGUAAACCUCUUUCAGCGGGGACGAAGCGAAAGUGACUGUACCCGCAGAAGAAGCGCCGGCUAACUACGUGCCAGCAGCCGCGGUAAUAAU
rnacentral:rRNA from 1 species